AGAGUUUGAUCCUGGCUCAGGAUGAACGCUAGCUACAGGCUUAACACAUGCAAGUCGAGGGGCAGCGAUGAAGAAAGCUUGCUUUCUUCAGGCAGCGACCGGCGCACGGGUGAGUAACGCGUAUCGAACCUGCCUCAUACUCGGGAAUAGCCUUGCGAAAGUAAGAUUAAUGCCCGAUGUUAUUAGAGCAUCACAUGAUGUUUUAAUUAAAGAUUUAUCGGUAUGAGAUGGCGAUGCGUCCCAUUAGCUUGUUGGCGGGGUAACGGCCCACCAAGGCAUCGAUGGGUAGGGGUUCUGAGAGGAAGGUCCCCCACAUUGGAACUGAGACACGGUCCAAACUCCUACGGGAGGCAGCAGUGAGGAAUAUUGGUCAAUGGACGCAAGUCUGAACCAGCCAAGUAGCGUGCAGGAUGACGGCCCUCUGGGUUGUAAACUGCUUUUAGUUGGGAAUAAAGUGCACCACGUGUGGUGUUUUGUAUGUACCAUCAGAAAAAGGACCGGCUAAUUCCGUGCCAGCAGCCGCGGUAAUACGGAAGGUCCAGGCGUUAUCCGGAUUUAUUGGGUUUAAAGGGAGCGCAGGCGGACCUUUAAGUCAGCUGUGAAAUACGGCGGCUCAACCGUCGAACUGCAGUUGAUACUGGAGGUCUUGAGUGCACACAGGGAUACUGGAAUUCAUGGUGUAGCGGUGAAAUGCUCAGAUAUCAUGAAGAACUCCGAUCGCGAAGGCAGGUAUCCGGGGUGCAACUGACGCUGAGGCUCGAAAGUGCGGGUAUCAAACAGGAUUAGAUACCCUGGUAGUCCGCACAGUAAACGAUGAAUACUCGCGAUUUGCGAUACACAGUAAGUCGCCAAGCGAAAGCGUUAAGUAUUCCACCUGGGGAGUACGCCGGCAACGGUGAAACUCAAAGGAAUUGACGG
rnacentral:rRNA from 1 species